UACGUACGGCGCACGCUUGAUAUAUGUUCAUGAGAGUGGAAGUCAUCAGCCUCUUCCCCGCCUGACUGUACCAGCGUUACACCAUUAAACGAAUCCAAAAACAUCUGGCAAAAUGUUUUUACCUUGCUAGGUGAACUUCACAGUAGACCAGAUCCAUGCCGUCAUGGACGAGAAGUCCAAUAUCCGUAACAUGUCUGUGAUUGCGCACGUUGAUCACGGCAAGUCCACUUUGACAGACUGUCUGGUGUCGAAAGCUGGUAUCAUCGCCUCAGCCUGUGCCGGAGAAACCCGUUUCACAGAUAAGAAGGACGAGCAGGAGCGUUGCAUCACCAUCCACUGCCAUCUCCAUCUUCUAUGAGCUCUGAUAAUGAUUUGGCCUUCAUUAAGCAUUGCAAAGAUGGCUCCGGCUUCAUCAACCCGACUCUCCUGAGCAUGAUGAUGACUUUUCAGAGGUUAUGGCUGCGCUUCGUGUCACAGAUGGAGCAUUGGUGGUCAUGGAUAUGUCUGACAGAGACUGUGCUCAGACAGGCCCAUUGGUCAGAGUAUAAAGCCAGUAUUGAUGAUGAACCAGAUGGACCGUGCAUUGCUAGAGCUGCUGCUGGGUUCUGAAGAGCUGUACCAAACCUUCCAGCACGUUGUCGAGAACGUCAACAUGAUCAUCUCCACCUAUGGUGAGGAUGAGAAUGGACCUAGGGGCAGGGCAACAUUGUGAUUGAUCCAGUCGUUGGUACUGUUGGCUUUGGAUCUGGACUGCUUUCACUUUGAAGCAGUUUGCUGAGAUGUAUGUCAUGAAGUUUGCUGCCAAGGGUGAAGCCCAGCUGGGACCAGCUGAGUGGUGCAAGAAGGUGGGUGACAUGAAGAAGCUUUGGGGAGACAGGUACUUUUGACUCCUACUCUGGGAUGUUUAGCAAGUCUGCCACUACACCAGAUGGCAAAAAGCUUCCCAGGACUUUUGCCCAUCUGAUCCUGGACCCUAUCUUCAAAAUAUUUGAUGCCAUCGCAAAAUUCGAGGAGGAAACCGCUAGGCUGAUUUAAAAGCUGGACAUCAAAUUAGAUCCUCAGGACAAGGAGGAGGAAGGCAAGACAAGAACACUAUGGAGAUUGUUUACAUGAAUUCAAAUGGAAAAGACAAGAUGUGACCAUCGUUUUAAGAUGCCUUAUUGUCUGCCUUCUGCAGGCAUCUGUAUAUGAACCAACAGGCAAAUGGUGGCUUUUCUCAGUUCCUAGUGGAAUUUGAAAUUGUUUUGUGCUAAAACCAAAGUCAAAUGUAAUGAAUUGCACAAUUUAUGUACCGUGUUCAUAGCCUGUAUACUAAUACACAUGGGUAUUAUGUGCUUGCUGUAAACCUGAAAUAUAAAUUGAUU